UGGGGUAUCGCCAAGCGGUAAGGAACCGGUUUUUGAUACCGUCAUUCCCUGGUUCGAAUCCAGUUACCCCAGCCA
rnacentral:tRNA from 1 species